GGAUGUGAGGGUGAGCUGGCUGCAACACCUGUCACCCCACUGAUCGCCAGGGCUGAUUCGGCUGAUCUGGCUGGCCAGGUGGGUGUCCCCUCCCUCCCUCACCGCCCCGUGUGCGUCCUUCCCAAAGCUGUGUGCUCGGUCAAAGAGCACGGCCUUCCCCCAGUAGAGACCGGUCUUUGGUCGAGGGUAUAAGAGUAGCUGCGCUCCCCUGCUAGACCCUCCAAACAAGCUCUCUAACUUUGCCUUUUAAUAUCUGAAUGAUACACGUUAAAAUCUAAUGUUAGGGCUCCCAGCUUUAGUCUU
rnacentral:snRNA from 1 species